GACGAACGCUGGCGGCGUGCCUAAUACAUGCAAGUCGAGCGCAGGAAGCUGACGGAACUCUUCGGAGAGAAGGCAGUGGAAUGAGCGGCGGACGGGUGAGUAACACGUAAGGAACCUGCCUCAGGGAUUGGGAUAACUCCGAGAAAUCGGAGCUAAUACCGGAUAGUUCAACGGACCGCAUGGUCCGCUGAUGAAAGGCGCUUCGGCGUCACCUUGAGAUGGCCUUGCGGUGCAUUAGCUAGUUGGUGGGGUAACGGCCCACCAAGGCGACGAUGCAUGGCCGACCUGAGAGGGUGAUCGGCCACACUGGGACUGAGACACGGCCCAGACUCCUACGGGAGGCAGCAGUAGGGAAUCUUCCACAAUGGACGAAAGUCUGAUGGAGCAACACCGCGUGAGUGAUGAAGGUUUUCGGAUCGUAAAACUCUGUUGUAAGGGAAGAACACAUACGAGAGGGAAUGCUCGUACCUUGACGGUACCUUACGAGAACGCCACGGCUAACUACGUGCCAGCCGCCGCGGUAA
rnacentral:rRNA from 1 species